GACGUAGGAUGCAAGCGUUGUCCGGAUUUAUUGGGCGUAAAGAGUUCGUAGGCGGUUCGUUAAGUCUGGUGUUAAAGACUGUGGCUCAACCACGGAAAUGCACUGGAUACUGGCGGACUGGAGUGAAGUAGAGGCAAGCGGAAUUCCAGGUGUAGCGGUGAAAUGCGUAGAUAUCUGGAAGAACACCGGUGGCGCAAGCGGCUUGCUGGGCUUUAACUGACGCUGAGGAACGAAAGCUAGGGGAGCGAAUGGG
rnacentral:rRNA from 1 species